rnacentral:rRNA from 1 species
CUUAGUAGGGCGAGGAACAGAAAUCAAACGAGAUUCCGUUAGUAGUGGCGAAUGAACACGGAAUAGAACAAACCGAAUCCGCUUGGGAAACCUUGUGGAGAUGUGGGGUGUGGAUCACCUAUCGUCUAAAUUCACGAAGCAGAAGUCGAUCUGGAACGACGUACCAUAGAGGGUGAAAGUCCCGUAUGCGUAGUGAACAUGACCAUGUGGUGAAUCCCGAGUAGCGUGCGUUGGAUAUCGCGCGUGAAUGUGGGAGGCAUAAACUUCCAAUUCUAAAUACAACUCGAGACCGAUAGUUGACCAGUAGUGUGAACGAAAGUUGAAAAGUAUCCUGAGAGGGAUGUGAAAAGAACCUGAAACCAGUUAGGGACAGGCUGAAUAGGCGUGAAAGCGAAGAUAUGAGCAGCGUCUAUUCGUGCGUUUCGAAAAAUGCCCCUGGGAGUUCUGAUCAUUGGCGAGGUUAAGCAGUUGAUCUGCGAAGCCGAAGGGAAACCGAAAGGUCCGCAGCCGCGUAAGCGGUCAGGGACUGGGUGAGCUCGCCCGGAGUCAAUGGUGGGAGACCUGAAGCCUAUCGA